UGGGGAAUUUUGGACAAUGGGCGAAAGCCUGAUCCAGCAAUGCCGCGUGUGUGAAGAAGGCCUUCGGGUUGUAAAGCACUUUUGUCCGGAAAGAAAUGGCUCUGGUUAAUACCUGGGGUCGAUGACGGUACCGGAAGAAUAAGGACCGGCUAACUACGUGCCAGCAGCCGCGGUAAUACGUAGGGUCCAAGCGUUAAUCGGAAUUAGCUGGCGUAAAGCGUGCGCAGGCGGUUGUGCAAGACCGAUGUGAAAUCCCCGAGCUUAACUUGGGAAUUGCAUUGGUGACUGCACGGCUAGAGUGUGUCAGAGGGGGGUAGAAUUCCACGUGUAGCAGUGAAAUGCGUAGAGAUGUGGAGGAAUACCGAUGGCGAAGGCAGCCCCCUGGGAUAACACUGACGCUCAUGCACGAAAGCGUGGGGAGCAAACAGGAUUAGAUACCUGGUAGUCCACGCCCUAAACGAUGUCAACUAGUUGUUGGGGAUUCAUUUCCUUAGUAACGUAGCUAACGCGUGAAGUUGACCGCCUGGGGAGUACGGUCGCAAGA
rnacentral:rRNA from 1 species